GACGAACGCUGGCGGCGUGCUUAACACAUGCAAGUCGAACGGAAAGGCCCUGCUUUUGUGGGGUGCUCGAGUGGCGAACGGGUGAGUAACACGUGAGUAACCUGCCCUUGACUUUGGGAUAACUUCAGGAAACUGGGGCUAAUACCGGAUAGGAGCUCCUGCUGCAUGGUGGGGGUUGGAAAGUUUCGGCGGUUGGGGAUGGACUCGCGGCUUAUCAGCUUGUUGGUGGGGUAGUGGCUUACCAAGUCUUUGACGGGUAGCCGGCCUGAGAGGGUGACCGGCCACAUUGGGACUGAGAUACGGACCAGACUCCUACGGGAGGCAGCAGUGGGGAAUAUUGCACAAUGGGCGGGAGCCUGAUGCAGCAGCGCCGCGUGCGGGAUGACGGCCUUCGGGUUGUAAACCGCUUUCGCCUGUGACGAAGCGUGAGUGACGGUAAUGGGUAAAGAAGCACCGGCUAACUACGUG
rnacentral:rRNA from 1 species